rnacentral:rRNA from 1 species
UACGGGAGGAGCAAGCGUUGUUCGGAUUUACUGGGCGUAAAGGGCGCGUAGGCGGCCUACUAAGUCGGACGUGAAAUCCCUCGGCUCAACCGGGGAACUGCGUCCGAUGACUGGUGGGCCGUACGAAUCCGGGAGAGGGAUGUGGAAUUCCAGGUGUAGCGGUGAAAUGCGUAGAUAUCUGGAGGAACACCGGUGGCGAAGGCGGCAUCCUGGACCGGCAUUGACGCUGAGGCGCGAAAGCGUGGGGAGCAAACAGG